GCUUUUGCAUCGACAAUCGACAACUGAGAGACUAUUUUUUGCUAUGGUUGACUAAAUAUGGUCAGGGAAGAGAGAGGCACAAGAGAGCCUGUUUGCCUGGGAGUGCAUGUUUCAAAUGCUUAGCUGCCUAUAAAGCUUUAACAGUUUAGCCUGUGGUCACUGAAGAAGAAAAUAAGUUAGCCUCUGUAGUGACCAUGUAGAAGUCCUGACCUUGCUUGCAGACUUGACCUCUGGAUAUGACAAGGUAGCUACACUACAGAUCUACAAUUUAAUCUGGAAGCUCAAAACCAAAAAAAAAAAUCUCAAAACAAGAAAGAUGCAGAAUAUUUCCUGAGGAGUCAGAAGAACCUAAAGCACUCUGGUGGGCAAAGGAAAACAGGGUGAGGUUCUGUGUUUACUGAUAGACCCCCUUCGUCACCCAGCUCAUAAAAGAAGUGCUGAAUCAGCUGAUGGAGUGAAGAAACACUCAGGAUAGCCAGCUGCUGCCGCUGUGACUCUCCAGACCAUUUCCUCUCUCCCACUGCAAAUACUGCAUGGCACUGAGUUCACAGGAUCUAGAAGCAAACUACUAUAAUAAAGAAGAAAAACUCUUUGAAGACUAUGAAGAAACACUAGGCUGAUUUUAGCAAUUUCUAAAAUAUAAUGCAAAACUCCACUGGCUUAUGAAUCUCUUGCAAAAACACCUAAACCAGGGCAAAGUUUAGGAAGGCUUAUGUCCAUCAAGAACAAGGAAUCAUUAAUGGCAUGAUCAGGUAAAUGUGUUACAAAGUUUAGCCUGUGAUAAAAAUUUCUGCUCUACAUCAAUAAGCUGAAAGUUCUAUUAACAAAGAGGAAAAUAAGAUAUUUUGUGUUUUACAGCUAACAACCUACUCAGAGUACAUACUUCUUUAUGUACCCAUAUGAACAUAUAAUGCUAUGGAAUGUAAAGAAGUAUGUAUUUUUGGUAGGUACUAAGCCACCGAGAGGUAACUAAACUGCAGCUAAAGGAAGCCACUGCUUCUUCCUACGUGGAUGACCUUCGGAUGGUAAAUUAACCUAGUAUCAAGUAUGUGACCUUUGGCAAUACUAACUCACCCAAAAAAAGUAUCCACUACUCAUAAUUAGAAACUAAAUAUUUCUAAGAUUUAUACUUUGUGAAGGAAAAAUUUUAUAGAAAUAGAUUUCAAAUUAUCAUGAAUUCUUUUAAACAUUUAUGUUUUAAACACUACAUUUUACAUUUUUGAGUACUCACAUAAUUAAAAUUUCACUCAAACACAGAAAAUAAUAUUACUAGCACAAAAGAAUGAGACAUAAAUAUGACCCAUUUUCUGUCUCCAUAAUUUGAUCUUAAGUGUAUUACAUUAAUAGGGCCAAAUGAUAUGGUAAGAAAAGUGAUAUACAAUAAAAGCUGAUUUCACUCAUAGUUUAAUAACUAUCCUUUACAUUUGUAUAUUUAUAAUCAGAGGAACUUCUAAACCAAAAGUUUCAUUCUUUUAAGUUUUCUUUUUUUGACAGAAAUAGUCAUAAUUCUAAAAGACUAUCUUUUUAAGUGAAAUCCUACUGUGCACAUUGAAAACAAGUGGCCCCUGAUCUUCUCAAGUCUGUCAUGUCUUUAACACAAUCUCUACUUUAAAUACUAUGUUAGUACUUAAAAUUAAUUAAAACAAUAAGAAUAAACAAUGACAAAUGACAAAAUGCUGGAAUCAACAAUAUUUAAAGGACUGUAUUUAUCUUUGAAUCUGCUUUUUCCAAAGGAAGUAGGGGCAUAUAAAUGAAAACUGCACAUGGUCAAGAACUAAUUUAUACAGAAAGAAUAACCAUUUUAUAAGUACUAUGCAAUUAAAAUUUAGUUUUUAUAGACAUAAUAGAUCUGCUAUAUAUAGCAUGUUACAGAUAUCAAAAUGUUUUUAUUUCAUAUGGUCUAUUUUAUAUAACCUAUUUAUAAGUUAUAAAAUUCUUAGCAACAACUGAUAAAUAGUACCUAAUUUAAGCUACUAUAUUAUAAAGUUUUAAAAAACUGAUACUAGUAUUGAUAUACUCUCAUUUCUUACUAAGAUACUGUUUGAACUACAAUAUUUAUACAC